rnacentral:rRNA from 1 species
GACGAACGCUGGCGGCGUGCUUAACACAUGCAAGUCGAACGGAAAGACCCUGCUUUUGUGGGGUGCUUGAGUGGCGAACGGGUGAGUAACACGUGAGUAACCUGUCCUUGACUUUGUGAUAACUUCAGGAAACUGGGGCUAAUACCGGAUAGGAGCUCUUGCUGCACGGUGGGGGUUGGAAAGUUUCGGCGGUGGUGGAUGGAUUCGCUGCUUAUGAGCUUGUUGGUGGGGUAGUGGCUUACCAAGGCUUUGACGGGUAGCCGGCCUGAGAGGGUGACCGGCCACAUUGGGACUGAGAUACGGACCAGACUCCUACGGGAGGCAGCAGUGGGGAAUAUUGCACAAUGGGCGGAAGCCUGAUGCAGCAACGCCGCGUGCGGAAUGCCGGCCUUCGGGUUGUAAACCGCUUUCGACUGUGACGAAGCGUGAGUGACGGUAAUGGGUAAAGAAGCACCGGCUAACUACGUG